rnacentral:tRNA from 1 species
GCCUUCGUGGUGUAGUGGACAGUACGCUCGACGUGUAUUCGAGAGGUCCGUGGUUCGAGUCCCGGCGAGGGUA